rnacentral:tRNA from 1 species
GAUAGUAUGGCUGAAUUUAGGCGAUAAAUUGUAAAUUUAUUUAUAAAAAUUUUAUUUUUUUUACUAUUA